UCCUAACGUUAGCCUCCAGAGGGCGAAAACCCUUCAAAAAGACGCUGGGAAGAGCUCCAGCCAAGGUGGAGGUGAUCUGCUUGCAAAAUCACAGAAGAAAGACCCGUGAUAAGGAAUUCCCCCCCAAAUCAUGCUUUUUCCGGCCCAUUUCUGUGAUGACGUCUCCAGCCCCCAAACCUGACCACUGCUGGGAAGGUCUGGGAAAUGGGCUGGGUGAGAGAAGAGGAACAUGAACUCCUGACUCAGGGCUUCCUGGAAAGCUUUUGGGAUGAUGAAAUCGGCUGGUGCCUUACGUCAGGUGGGAAGAUUUUCAGUGGCUUGCCCCGGGAGCUGGUUCACAAAGCCAGAAAUCUUGGGCGAUGAAGGAAAGUCCUAAUGCCGCUGGUGCAGACGUUAUGCUCCUUUUCAAUACGAUAUACAAGCAGUUUCCUUGCAAAGCGCUUUAGGAAAGAAGGGGAUCUGCCACUUGCCAAAUUCGGAGGGAGUAGAAAAUCCUGCCAGAUCAGAGCACCCUGGUGUUCUAUCCCUAACUCAGAGCCCAAAGUGAUGUAGAAACGGGUCCCAGGACAGCCAGUAUUAAAGCAAGGGCUGGAUGGUUUUGAGGACAACACAUACAUUGCCGCUUGUUGAAGAAACCCAAUUCUUGGGAAAUACUGAGUGCUCUGAAAAACAGGUCUUUUGCACAUAUCUCCAAAGGAACUCGAAAAGUAAGACCUGGUGGGAAUAUCGUACUCAUGGACAGAGAGGAUAUUGCUGGCUCGCAGCUGAAAAAAAGAAAUAAUGUUGUCGGGGUAUAAUCCUGAUGUGGAUGUGGUCCUGCCUCAUCUGGUAUCACAGCUCACCACGGGCAGAAGCGGAGAAGUUCGAAGAAGGGACGCAGGGAAGAUCAAACAGCUCCGGCAAUGAGAAGCACAGGCGUGGGCGGCUUGUGCCAGCACAGAUGCUGUCCUUAUGCCAGCCCAGUUGGAGAAACACCUGGAAACAGAUCCCCCACGUUCAUCCAUCUGCGUUAUACCAAGCUAAGGUGUCUUCCCUCUGCCUCAGCUGCCUCUUGCAUCCAAUAAAUCCUGAAUUGUUUUUUGCACAGUCCAGCAUUAACAGCACAGAUGGAGCAACUGUACUGGAAUAUGCACGGCUUUUAGUCGAGAGGAAUAAAUUAUAAUGGUACACAGAGGCUUUUUUCUAUGGCUAGGACCAGCAUAAAUAUAUCUUACAAAAAAAAGACCUACUUUUCCACUUGUCUCCUUUGCUAUCCAAAAUAAUCAUCCUGGCCAAAUGCUUGUGCAGAACUGGCUUGGGCUUGCAAAAGAGUUAAAAGCUCCAUCCUUCAAUUUUUAAUUUGCAUGUAUCUGACAUCGAAGGGGCUAAACAUGAGCACUGCAAAGCUCAUGAGUCUUUUUCAUUGCUACUUUUCAGAGUGUUACUGUGUUUUGAAGUGGUUUGUACUGAAGAAGAACGAAUGUCAAAUACAGGGAGCAGUAACAAGCCUGUUGUCAGAGCAAAUCCACCUUCACAGGAUUUCCCAAAUGUUUUGCCUUUAUUCUGCAUUUUGUGUGGAUGCU